AAAGACUUUUUUUAAUAUAUUUGUAGCUUGAUUUGGCCUAAUAACUAAAGGCAUAUCACUCACCAGUUAGGUGUCAGGCUUGAGUUUCUAAUCUCCUAUAAAAAAACAAAUAAAUAAAAUAAAACCAAAUUUAAAAGACUUUUUUUUCAUAUAUUUGUAUGAUAUUUUAAGUCAAUUAAAAUUAAAAAAAAAAAUCUUCUUAACAUUACAUUUCAA
rnacentral:misc_RNA from 1 species